rnacentral:rRNA from 1 species
AUUAGCCCAGCACCGAAUCCUGUAUCGUUACUGGUAUUAGGAAUUGUGGUGUAAAGGUUGUGUCUUUAAUUGUCGAAUCAGUUCCAAAUUCACUUGAUUGUGAUAUUGUCCAGAGAAGGUGUUAGACCUGUUGGGAUUGAUGAAGCUUUUAUUGAUACUUCCUAUGAGUCGGAUUGUUUGAGAAUGCAGUCCAAAUUUGGUGGUAUACUCCAUCUAAGGCUAAAUACUUGUGUGAGUCCGAUAGCAAACAAGUACCGUGAGGGAAAGUUGAAAAGAACUUUGAAGAGAGAGUUAAAUAGUACGUGAAAUCGCUUAGAGGUAAACGAGUGGAGCCGAAGCUGUUAUAUGGGAUUCAGUUGAUUGUGUACGGUGUAAUGGUUGAUGAGAUCUCACAAGGAUUCAUUCGAUUGUUAUCUUAUUGUGUACAUUUAAUGCACUUUCCAUAUGACUUGACUGCGAUCAAUAGUGUCAUUUUUCUGUCGUGAUGGUGAAGUUGAUCAUUCGUUUAUUCGAUUGGUUUUAUAGCUCAUUGCAUGGUUGAAUGGUGUAUUGGUGAAUACGAUUGGAUGUUUAUGUUUGGCAGUUGGUUAUGUUGAUUGUUUGGGAGUAAACUAAUAAUAGUUUAUUCUUUGAAUGGUCAGUGUGAUUAGUUAUCAUUCUGUUCAAUCUAAAAUCAGCAGUGUAUAUGUAGGUUACCUACUCGUCCCGUCUUGAAACACGGACCAAGGAGUUUUAUAUUAUCGCGAGUCAAAGGGCUUUACGAAACCCCAGGGCGUAAUUAAUGUAAAGGUUUGCGUUGGUAAACUGAGAUGUGACCUAGACGAAGCUCGCAAGGGCUGAAUCUUGUGCAACAUCGACCCGUCUAAAGGUGUUCGCAUCUGGGCGGAGUUUGAGCGAUAAUGUAGAGACCCGAAAGAUGGUGAACUAUGCUUGUGCAGGUUGAAGCCAGAGGAAACUCUGGUGGAGGACCGCCGCGGUUCUGACGUGCAAAUCGAUCGUCGGACAUGAGUAUAGGGGCGAAAGACUAAUCGAACCAUCUAGUAGCUGGUUCCCUCCGAAGUUUCCCUCAGGAUAGCUGGCAUUUACUUUGUAGUUUUACCCGGUAAAGCGAAUGAUUAGAAGUAUUGGGGACGAAAUGUUUUCAACUUAUUCUCAAACUUUAAAUGGGUUCGAAGUGCUUCUCGUUUAAUUAGAGAAGUACAUUGAAUAUGAAUGCCUAGUGGGCCAUUUUUGGUAAGCAGAACUGGCGAUGUGGGAUGAACCAAACAUCUGGUUAAGGUGCCUAACAUCAUGCUCAUGAGAACCCACAAAAGGUGUUGGUUGAUAAAGACAGCAGGACGGUGGACAUGGAAGUCGUCAUCCGCUAAGGAGUGUGUAACAACUCACCUGCCGAAUCAACCAGCCCUGAAAAUGGAUGGCGCUGUAGCGUGAGACCUAUACCGGAUCGGUAUCGUAAGUUACGUAAGUAAUGUGUAAACGGUACCGUGUAGGAGGGUGCCGUGGUUGCUAAGAAGCUACUGGCGAAGGCAGAGUGGAGCGGCCACGGGUACAGAUCUUG